UGGCCUGUACUGAUGCAAUCAAAGGUAUGUUUUCGUGUUUUCCAUUAUGUCUAAACAGAACUGAUCCAACAAAUCAGUGUUCAAUCACCACCGUGCAUCAAACUUUUGCGUUUUGAACUUAUUUUGUUUGGGAAAUUGGUGUUGAUGGUCGUGCCAUAUACAUCCAAGACCAGUAUUCUUAACCCAUGAUUUGGAUACUCCAUUCCAGCGUGACUGUGAAGCAUCCAAAUUCUUGUACCAUUUUUAUUAAAGAUAUCAAGGAUGUUGUUAGAGAUGGCUUACUGGCACUCAGAUGAUACCAUUGAAGACGAGGCAGUUGUUAGAGGUGUGGGUGCUUUUGAGGUUGCAGCUCAACAACAUUUGGUUAAUAAAGUGAAAAAAACUAUUCAAGGGCAGAUUGCUCUCUUUAUUAAGUUGGGCAUUUCUGUGAACAAAGAUGGUUAAAGGAGAUGAUCAGAACAACAAUGGAGCGAGCAAACAAAAUGUUUGUUGAUUACAAUGAGGCCAUAUGACCAUUAUGAAGGCCAACUAGCAUUCAUGCCUUGAUAACAAAGUUGGAUUUAAGGUCCUGCACAAGCUCAGAAUUCAAGGGAUUCACUUGCAGAUGCAAAAUCUGAUAUUUGUAGUGAAGAUGAAAGAAUAGAGUGAACUGCACGUGCAGACUCACAAGGUGCUCAUGCUUCUGCAAGUAGAAUUCAUCAAGAUGGAAUGUUGAAUAAGUACAUAUGAAAUAUCUUUUGAAGAUAUUACCUAGACACUUACACAAAUGAUUAUCAUUGCUUUGUGUUUUUU